CUUAAACAGGAAGAGGAAGUGGCAACAUAGCAGACACUGAAUUUCCAAUUUGUUUCUAACAGAUCCAAGGUCUCUUCAGCAUUUCUGAAACACCUGAGCGUUUCUGUACUCACGAUCUCCUGUUAGUAGUCAUGAUCCUGUCAUAAUGAUAGAAGAAUGGGAAAGAAGCAGAUUAAAGAUUGGCUUUUAUCCAUAAUCUAGCAUCUCUGAUGGUGUCAGGCAAGGAGGACAGCAAGUUUCAGAAGUAAAUAUGAUGAUGUGUGAUAUUUCACCACUCAACUCCCUUCAGUAUAAAGAUCACUAACUAAAUUUUGAUUGACACAUGACAACAGAAGCUUAUUAAAAGAAGAAACAACAACUACUCUACUUUCCACAGACAAACAGUGUCCUUACUGCAGGAUUUCGUUGUUACUCUAGAAUAUGCCCUCUCUUAAAGAUGUGCUGUCUCAGUGAACCACUUCUGGAAAAACGAGAUGGAAUGCAUGUCCUGAUAAUAAAGAUGAUGAUAAUUCGGCUGAUGGCAAAA